AUGCUCACCAGGAACAUUGUUCUUUUGUUCUCUCUGUUCACUUUGCUGGUGGAGGGGGACCUCGACUUCAACGAUGCUGGAAUACAAGCCAUGUCGACAGAUAAAGACUCCACAUCUGAUGAAGCCCCCACAGAGAGUAUGAAUGCUGUCUCUCCAGAUCAACCCGAUGAAUCCCAGUAUUAUGGAGGAGGACCUUCAGAUACCAGCAGUUCCAGCUCAGAGACUGCAGAUGCUCCAGUAGCCAAUCAGGUGACAGCACCUGAACCUGCUGCAGCUGCUGCAAACAGUGUGGAGGAAGAAGAUGAUGACGAGAACUCUGAUUCUGAAGAAGGAGGGAAGAAAAAGUUCAGCUCUCGCUCAGCCAAGCCUCAGAGCCCUGCCCUCCUGCCACAAAGUCCUGCCCACGUCAAUCAAAGUCCCGCCCACCUCCCUCAAAGUCCUGCCCUGCCCCCUCAACCAAUCAUUCCUCAGCCGAAAGCUCUGGUGAGGAACCGAACAUCCAAGAGACGAUCCAGGACCAACCGCCGUCAGAUAUAAGAUGUCAGCACACACGCAGUAACAUACAGUUACACACAGUAACACAUGUAGUAACACACACAGUUACACACGCACAGCAACACACAGUAACACACACACACAGUAACACACACACAGUUACACACACACAGUAACACACAUUACACACAGUAACAUUUGUAGUAACACACACAGUAACACACAGUACACACAGUAACACACACAGUAACACAGUUACAUACACAGUAACACACAGUUACACACACACAGCAGCACACACACACAGUAACACACACACAGUUACACACACACACACACACACACACACACACAGUAACACACAGUAACACACACACAGUAACACACAGUAACAACAUACAGCAGGUUCAUGUUCACCUUCAAUCCAAAAAAUGUAAAACAAACUAAAAUCUGCAGACAAUCCAAAGCGUCUGAUUGGUCAGUUGAUUGUCUGAUUGUCUCUGGACUAAUUGUGAGUUUCUGUUUGUAACAUAAACAGGUUCAUCAGGUGAACUGGAGAAAUAAACUAAAAUCUUUUGUGACUCAAAGUUCAAACUGAUGAUGAUUAUUUUAAUUCUGUUUCUUUUUACACUGUCAGUCAGGAGCCCCUGAUAUGUUAAUGAAUUUGGCCCCUGGCCUCUGUGCACUGUGUUAAUGUAGCUGUUUGUUUUUUACUUUCAUUCAUAAACACUGAAACAACAUGAUUGUGUUCAUAUGUUCUGUUUCUUACUUUUAUCAUAUUUGAAGGAAGUUUAACUGAAUUAAACAUGAACACCAGGUGACCUCUGACCUCUUUUCACCCUUAAAAUAUAUAGAAAGGCCCUCCGUAAUGCCAGAACAGCCUAUCAGCACUAAUAGAAGAAAAUAAGAACAACCCUAGGUUCCUCUUCCGCACUGUAGCCAGGCUGACAGAGAGUUACAGCUUCUAAUUGUGGUUCUGGAGGCAGACACACUCUCCACAUUUAAGAGUAGGCUUAAGACGUUCCUCUUUGAUAAAGCUUAUAGUUAGGGUUGGCUAAGGUGAGUCCUGAACCAUCCCUUAGUUAUGCUGCUCUAGGCCUAGACUAUCGGGGGAUUUCCCAUGGUGCACUGAGCUUCUCUCUUCCUCUUUCUCUCUUUCUGCACUCAUUCAUUUCUGCACUCAUUCAUGUCCCAUUAAUGCAUGUUACUAACAUAACAUUUAUUUUAUUUGUAGAGCGCCAAUUCAUAACAGAAGUUAUCUCUGGACACUUUUCAAAUAGAGCAGGUCUAGACCGAACUCUUUAAAACAUUAACUUCACUUCUUCUCCGGAGUUCCUGUACUUUCUCGUCUCGCAGGUUCUCAUUAGAUACUAUAGGAACCACAAGUAGCCCUGCAUUCAGAGAACGUAGUGUUCUAGAGGGGUAAUAGGGUACUAUGAGCUCUUUACACCACAAGGUUGUGUCCUGAGCCCGUUUCUGUUCACCCUGUACCCCAGUGAGUGUACCAGCCCCUCACCUGUCACCACAUAUAUUAAAUACUCUGAUGACACUGCCAUACUUGCACUCGUCAACGACAAUAACUCUGUUUUAAGCUACCAGGACUCCAUCUCCCACUUCACACAAUGGUGCACAAACAGUCAUCUAGAACUCAAAGUUAAGAAAACAAAAUAACUGAUCAUCAGCACUUCCAGCAUCCACAGCUCAGCACACAACCUCAUCCAUAACCCCACAAUUAUUAACAGUGAAUCCGUGAAGAUUGUGGAGUCCAUCAAAAACCUCAGACUAACUCUGGGCAAUAAACUGAACUUCGAUCAUCACACCAGUGACAUCCACAAACGUUGCCAACAAAGACCCUCUGCCAUCCGCAAACUCAAUGCACUUUCUGUUGCCCCCCAACUUCUAUUAUUACUCUAUAAAAGUAUAGUCCAACCCGUCAUCCUCUACUGUUCCACCUGCUUCUACAACAUGUUAACUGCCUCAAAUAGGAACACACUGACAUGCAUUACACACCACUCCUCCAAAAUCAUUGGUCUCCCCACCCCCAACCUCUCAGACCUCAACAAUACAGCCAUUACAUGCAGAGCACACAGUAUAGCACACGACCCCAGCCCCCCCCCCCAAGUCAUUAUUCGUACUGCUGCCAUCCCGACGCAGAUACAGGACUGUGGCCUGUUAACGUGCUGGAGUUUUGUACCUUCUGCCAUAGCGUCUUUAAACAAGGCAUCCCAGUAACAGCCGUGAGUGAGUGCUUCGCACAGGACAGGGAGGGGUGAAUGUGCUAAAUGUGCUGUAUUAAGUGUUUAUUCUUGUUGUUAUGUUGGUGUCCAUAUGUGUUUUUCUUUUUUUCGUAUCUAUGUAUGUAUGUACAGACUGCGGUAACAAAAUUUCCUGUGAAGGACAAUAAAGUAUAUUAUUAUUAUUGAAAAGUGUCCUGAGAUAAGAUAAGUUAUGAAUUGGUGCUAUACAAAUAAAAUUGAAUUGAAUUGAAUUGAAAUUAUUAUUAUUAUUACUAAGAUAUGAAGGGGCCUGACCCUGAAGAGCUUUGUAGGUGAGGAGGAGGAUUUUAAAUUCUAUUCUGAAUUUUACAGGGAGCCAGUGCAGAGAAGCUAGUACAGGAGAGAUGUGAUCUCUUUUCCUAGAUUUCCUACAUUUGCAUUCAUUAUGUUUUUCCACUCAUUUAUUGAGGUUUUGUGUCUGAGUAUGUGUGUGUGUCUAUAUAUAUAUAUAAAUCAUUGUAUAAGCAAGUUAAUGUUUUAAAGAGUUCAGUCUAGACCUGCUCUAUUUGAAAAGUGUCCUGAGAUAAACUUCUGUUAUGAAUUGGCGCUAUGCAAAUAAAAUUGAAUUGAAUUGAAUUGAAUUGAAUUUAAUAUAUAUGUGAAGUAAGUAGAAAGUACAAAUAUGUGAUCAGUUACUUUAUAAACUUACAAUAGAUGUAUUCUGCCAGUAUAUACAGUCUUCUUCUCUGUAGUGCCUUCCAGAGGACAGAAGAAGGAAAUGUCUGAUGGUCUGCAUUCUUAAGGUGUCUAAGUCCUGGAGAGGUGAGAGAACUGAACAACAGACAGCAAAAGAGUCAGUAAAAACGCAUAAUACUGUAAUUAAUAAACUGUGAGUUGUAUUGAUCUCUACAUAAACACCAACAGGAACAAGAAAAACUAAAGAAACGAGGAGAGUUUAGGGUGUGUGAGUGUCACAGUAUUUCCUUGUAUGGGACAGUUUCUGGGAAAUCCUAGCUGAUCUACUUCCUGCAGAGCUUUCAUUCAGAAACUUCUGUAAUUAUUAUUGUUAUUGGUAUUGUUAUAAUGAUGGAGAGACUGACGUAUGUCUCUGAGUUGAUUCUCUG
rnacentral:lncRNA from 15 species